rnacentral:misc_RNA from 1 species
GUUCAGUGGGGUUAAUUGACCCAACUGGUGGAGCUGCUUGCCCACAAUAAUGAUACAUAGUUGAAGCCACCAUCUCAACCCAAAGAAAAUUUAUAGGAAACAAUCAAUAACACCGACUUUAAUUGUGAAUUAAUAUAUGUACAUACAAACACAAUCGAUCAGCACAAUAACAAAACAACAAAAUCAGACUGAUUUUUCACCUCAGUCCUUGCCAUCUGGCCUAUAACUGAAAAUGAAAAAAAAAAAAA